UACAGAGGUGGCAAGCGCUGUUCGGAAUUACUGGGCGUAAAGCGCGCGCAGGCGGCCUCGCGCGCCCGACGUGAAAGCCCCCGGCUUAACCGGGGAGGGUCGUUGGGGACGGCGGGGCUUGAGGGCGGGAGAGGUCGGUGGAAUUCCCGGUGUAGUGGUGAAAUGCGUAGAGAUCGGGAGGAACACCUGUGGCGAAGGCGGCCGACUGGGCCGACCCUGACGCUGAGGCGCGAAGGCGUGGGGAGCGAACGGG
rnacentral:rRNA from 1 species